CACGUAGGACGCAAGCGUUAUCCGGAGUUACUGGGCGUAAAGCGCGGGCAGGCGGCUCGAUGCGUCUGAUGUGAAAGCUCGAGGCUCAACUUCGAGUCGGCCGUGGAUACUCCUAAGCUCGAGCACUGUAGAGGCAGGUGGAAUUCCGGGUGUAGCGGUGGAAUGCGUAGAGAUCCGGAAGAACACCGGUGGCGAAGGCGGCCUGCUGGGCAGUAGCUGACGCUGAGGUGCGAAAGCGUGGGGAGCAAACAGG
rnacentral:rRNA from 1 species